AAUGGGAGCCGGGGAGCCGUCGGUAGCGGCGUAGGCCCGUGCCCCUGCUCGCGCUGCAGCCCGUGGAAGGGUUCCGUCCAGCGUAUCCUUCAGAUCUUGCUGUAGGCCUCUGGUGUCUGUGCGCGCGCGGCAGGGGCGGCGGCGGCGACGGCCGGAGGUGUACGGUCAGCGGGUUGCGGAGGAUCGUGCGGGUCGCAAAGGGAAGCCGAGUGCUCCUGCGGCUCCCAGACUGCAACCAGUUGCUUCCUCUACUGAAGUCUUGAAACCCCUGAAAGUCAUCCCUGAGGUUUGAAGUUAACUUCUUCUACACCCUGUUAAUGUUGAUAUUUUGACCUCCUUCCAUGAAUCAC
rnacentral:lncRNA from 1 species